UGAGAAGCACAGUGGUUCCUGCACAGCUUGGGGACCGCUGGGUCCCUGCACCCAGCAGGCUGUCCCAGGGACACGGCGUUUUCCUCUCCCUUCCCCGUUGCCCACCCUCCAUGCCACGCUGCAGCCAGCCACCGCGAGGAGCCUGAGCAACGUAAUUUGGAAAAAUCAUUUCUUUUUACAAUUCUAAGGGCUAAAAAUGGAACGCGGACACUUAAAAUAAAUUCCUGGAGAACAAAACUGAGAAAACACAAUGGGAUUUGCAUCAAAGUGCUUGGAUUCAUUAGCUUAAACUGAAAGCUCUCAUUCUGAUUUCAACCCCAGCUUUGUGUACAAACAAACAAACAAAUAAAUAAAUAAAGCA